UGGGAUAAAGUUACUCUUUCGAAACAAUCGUGAUCAUUCGAGCGUACAGGGGACAAUAACGACACCCUCGGGAGUGUCCAGGAUGAAUCCCGGCUAACACGAUUACCAGACAAUUCGUUCGAUCAAUUUACCUGACAAACGCACCACCGGCGUGAACUCGAACGAGACCAUUCGUGAGAUGUAUAAAAGGAAAUAUGAAGUAAUAAGAAAUUCUUCAAAAUCAGUGUUAAAAAUGGGAAGAUCCUUCCGAACCAGAGACGAUGGGAUACGCAGGAACGUAAGCGUAACGGCGCCCAUGGGACGAGCAGGGUAACGCGAUUAGGUGGCACAGCACUGGCUUGAUUUAUCCGCGUACCAAAGCGUUAUUGCAUUAGCGCCCCGACGACGACGCCGCUGGACUGCGUCCCGGGGAUGGUUUCAGCCAUCGCCAGCACCAGAAGUCCGUUCUGUCCAGUGAACCGUGAAUCAUCCCCAAGAAUUAUGUCUUGCGCGAUCUUGCCAGGACGGCUGAUUUAUAUCCUUGCUCGCCGUUUAACACAUUUUAAUGACCCUUUAUACUGCAUCUAUACUACACCGUCAUUCAAGGCUAGGCCUGUCCAGUCCCAGAGCUUCCUGGUGUCGUCUCGCCUUCAGCCUGAGGUCGGCGAUGCUGCUGUUCUUUGAUCGAGCCGCGGC